rnacentral:rRNA from 1 species
GAGCUAAUACCGGAUAACAUGUUGAACCGCAUGGUUCAACAGUGAAAGACGGUCUUGCUGUCACUUAUAGAUGGAUCCGCGCCGCAUUAGCUAGUUGGUAAGGUAACGGCUUACCAAGGCAACGAUGCGUAGCCGACCUGAGAGGGUGAUCGGCCACACUGGAACUGAGACACGGUCCAG